ACGCUGUACCAGCGUUUUCCUGUCUAAUUGUUUCCUUCCAAAAAUUGUUGCGCUGUACCUACGUUAUCCAAAAGCAAAAGCGGCGCACAAAAACAAAAUGAGACUUUGUGCGAACUCCCUUGUUGCCCGUUGUAUAAGAUACGCUUUGAUUCAUUUGUUGUAGUACCCAAGGCCUUGAACAGCAAAAGUAUGACAGCCUGCCCAAUGCAAGCACUUCUACGGAUGAAUGCUACCCGUAGUGCAGUGAGGCCAUGAUUUCAGCGAAGAAUACCAACCCCAGUGACAUAAUCUUGAGCCAGGUUGCACCUCAGAUAGGGAAUGAUGGCACUAGUUCCCAAAAGCUUGGAUGGGACUUGAAGUACUUACAACGAGCAGAGCAGGAUCGAACAUGUGCAGCUAUAUAGGAGUAUACUCAUGCAUGUAUAAGUUGCGUCGUGCAACAUGUUAUUAGCUACCGUCCAAGCUGUCAAAGUGUGCAUGGCUCUUGUCUAUCUUUUUUAGGUGCUUUCAGACAUUCACGUACUAAUCACAGACAUGGGAAGACUAUAAGACGUCAAGAUGAAAGGCUCCUAGCAGCUCUCAGUGUUCCCAACGAAACUGGCAGAAUGGCAGUGGCUGAUUACAAGCUGCCUUUGGUGAACAAAGAAACCGUGACCACAUUAGAAUCCGAGCAGAGCUCCAAUCCUGCAUUCUGAUGACACCUUACACAACGGCUCUCUGUUAUGGGGGGCUGGUACUUAAGAAGCUUUACUGCAGGCAUCCUACCCACUAUUUUUAGACAGUUUGGGUGGAAACUUAAGCUAGACUUUAGGCCAGCGGCGGAAAAAGAGCGUCAGGGACGUGCAUGUCUACAGUGUCAUGGAAGAUGCUUCAAAGGAUACUGGACCUGCCGCCAGCUGACAUGCGUUUCUUCCUCCUUAGUUCUGUUAAGAUGUGGGUUCAGUUUUACUAGACAUGCAAUCCAUAAUAUAUGCAGUCUAGUCAAUCAGUGCACGACAUUACAUGCCAUUCAUUUCCUAUGUAUAUAUUUAGUCAGAAUCAAAGCAGGACAAGCACAUGUACAUAAUU